rnacentral:lncRNA from 1 species
AUGAGGAAAUGCACCACGGAAGCCAGGUGUCAGAGUUCUGGUUUCCCAGCAACCGUGGCUCUGCGUGGCUGUCCGAACAUUCACGCUCAAGAGAUUUCAGGAAGUGAAAAGAUGGAUGACGCCAGGGUGAUGUCCUCAGCAAACGAUGAUUUCUCACUCCAGAUCUAUAAUAGAGCAAUCAACAUUCAAGAAAGAAGAGCAAGCUGGAGGAACCUAAUUAACCAUGUAGAAGCAGUCUUAAAAGACUAUGAGGGUACUUCAGAAAGCUUGUGGAAAAAUGAAAUUAAAAGUGACUUACUUCUCAACAGCUUCACAGCACACCCAGGUUUACAGAUAUGCUGCAGAUACCACCCAUGA